UUACAGUGUAAAUAUAAUUACUGUGACAUAGAUUUGCUUUGGUUCACUGAGCUGGCAAUGAGCAAGCUUUACAGCAUUGUAUCUUUUUGUUCUUGCUUAAAUUGCCUUUCUAGUAGGUGGUUGGAGCUAGAACCCAGACCACAGCUGCAGUCCCAAUGUGCUGUUGUAACAGUAUUAGCAUAUAAAGUAGAUAUCAUUGCAGAGUGCAGGGCUGAUUCCUACCGGCCCUAUGCGCUGUGAGUGUAGCGGGAAAGGUCCAUUUCAGUGUGCUUGGCACAGCAGGAACCUGCUGACUUGGCAGUACCUGCAGGAGACUCCGUGCUUUUCAGUGGUGGCUGCUCUACACUCCUGGAUUUUGCCGCCUUGCCAGCAGCACUGGGACCAGAACAAGCAGAGAAGUGUUUUCCAUGGAAAUCUUCUUUCCUAGAUUGAAUGACCCUUAUGCACUGUGUCUUUCCUGGUUGCACAGACAGGUCUGUACCAACAAGUGUUUCUCCUGAAGGAACCUAGAGCAUCUGGACAGGUCUGAGUGGGUCUGGUGUGGAAACGCAGUCCUGGGGAGCUCAGAUACAUGACAGUGCUUAUACAAGUAGUUAACCUAAGAAUAUUGACUACGCCUAUGCAUGUGUUUGCCCUAAUAGCACUGGUCUGAAUCCGAUAUACUUAUUGCCUCCAGAGGAGGCUGGCGGCCAUUUUGUCAGCCCAGAGCUGCUGCUGCAGCUAUGCAGCAGCUUCUUCACUGCUGGUUUCUCUCCAUGUAAACCUUCCUCCCUUACCACAUGUGCCCCCAGGCCCCUGUUUGCCACUCUUUGUCUUUUAGGGGGAAAAAGCCAAGUGUGGGAGGCUGGAUGUUGUUCCCUCUGCUGCCUGAGGGACCCUCUUGUGGCUUCCGGAAGGUUCCACAGAGCUUCCUGUCAGUGCCGUGGGACAGCCAGCGCCUCGCUUAUGACCUGUGGACGAGGGUGCUUCUGUGGCUGUCCAAAAAAAAAGGGAUAAAAAAAUGCUGGAAACAGCACAGCUGGAGAGCACGUAAUACUGCUGAAGAGAUGCAAAGAGAAGAUGCAGUUCUAUUAAGAGAUUUCAUGAGUACGCACAGCUAUGCAGGACAAAAGGACAACUUCUUCAUGAAAAGAAAUACUGUUGCUGGCUCAGACUUGGUGAGAGAAAGAGAUACGGAUACAUUGUAUAUCAGUGGAAGAAGACAUGAGAUCAUGUACAGUCAAGGCUGGGGAAAUUUCUCUGUGUCAGCCUGGUGAGGGAAAGCCCUGCAGCCUGAAGAGACCAGCCUCCAGGAGGAAAAAUGGCAGGACUAUGUCAGCUGGUCCAGUCUGACGUUAAAUGUCGCUGAGCGACUGUGUUUAAAGAACUCACAUCCAAUGGAUUGGGGGAGAGGCAUGACAAGCUCUCCAGCUGACAGGACUGGGGAGCUUAUUUUUUUCUGUUUUCUGGUGCUAACGGCUUUCUGGAGCACUAAUGCUUUGUCUGCUAGUGGCUGGAGUCAGACUUGAAGACACACUACCAAAUGCGUUUUGGUGAAGCUGACCCUGUAGGAUGCAGCUACCCUUUGCUGUAGUACUUGGGAAGAGAGGGUCUGAUGAGUGCUCUGUGCCAAUCCCUCAUGCCGAUCUCUGUCAUUUCAUGAAGCUCACGUAGUUUCAGACUUUUACCUUUGCCAGCUUAUUAUAGCCUAGGAAGAUGAGACGUGACUAUGCUGAGAUACAACACCCAGUGAUGGCACUUUAUAAUACUGUAUAACUGGAGGAUUGCUAUUGUAGGCAGAGAAAAAGGCAAUAAAGCAGCAUUGAUAUCCUGCCUGCCCUCUUAU
rnacentral:lncRNA from 1 species